AUUGAACGCUGGCGGCAGGCCUAACACAUGCAAGUCGAACGGUAACAGGAAGAAGCUUGCUUCUUUGCUGACGAGUGGCGGACGGGUGAGUAAUGUCUGGGAAACUGCCUGAUGGAGGGGGAUAACUACUGGAAACGGUAGCUAAUACCGCAUAACGUCGCAAGACCAAAGAGGGGGACCUUCGGGCCUCUUGCCAUCGGAUGUGCCCAGAUGGGAUUAGCUAGUAGGUGGGGUAACGGCUCACCUAGGCGACGAUCCCUAGCUGGUCUGAGAGGAUGACCAGCCACACUGGAACUGAGACACGGUCCAGACUCCUACGGGAGGCAGCAGUGGGGAAUAUUGCACAAUGGGCGCAAGCCUGAUGCAGCCAUGCCGCGUGUAUGAAGAAGGCCAUCGGGUUGUAAAGUACUUUCAGCGGGGAGGAAGGGAGUAAAGUGAAUACCUUUGCUCAUUGACGUUACCCGCAGAAGAAGCACCGGCUAACUCCGUG
rnacentral:rRNA from 1 species